rnacentral:misc_RNA from 1 species
AAAAAAAAUCCUUAAGAAAAAGCCUUACUGCUGCAGCCUGCACUAUAUCAGAACGCAUACCAUAACAGUUGAAAAAAAAAAUCAUAUGUAUAAAAUACAAAAAUAAAAUACAAAAAUACCUAAAAAGAAUUGCAGUAAAAAAAUCACAUAUUUCUUAUGAAUGAAAAGCCAAAGCCAAUGAUAAUGAUAAACAAGAUGCUAACCUUCUCAUCAAUCCACAUCAAAG